rnacentral:rRNA from 1 species
UACGUAGGUGGCAAGCGUUGUCCGGAAUUAUUGGGCUUAAAGGGCGCGUAGGCGGGCAAGCAAGUCCGGGGUGAAAUCUUUCGGCUCAACCGGAAAAGUGCCUUGGAUACUGCUUGUCUGGAGGGAGGUAGGGGCAUGCGGAACUUCUGGUGGAGCGGUGAAAUGCGUUGAUAUCAGAAGGAACGCCGGUGGCGAAAGCGGCGUGCUGGACCUCUUCUGACGCUGAUGCGCGAAAGCUAGGGGAGCAAACGGG